GACGAACGCUGGCGGCGUGCUUAACACAUGCAAGUCGAACGAGAAGAGAUGAGAAGCUUGCUUCUUAUUGAUUCGAGUGGCAAACGGGUGAGUAACGCGUAAGCAACCUGCCCUUCAGAUGGGGACAACAGCUGGAAACGGCUGCUAAUACCGAAUACGUUCUUUUGUCGCAUGGCAGAGGGAAGAAAGGGAGGCUCUUCGGAGCUUUCGCUGAAGGAGGGGCUUGCGUCUGAUUAGCUAGUUGGAGGGGUAACGGCUCACCAAGACGAUGAUGGGUAGCCGGCCUGAGAGGGUGAACGGCCACAAGGGGACUGAGACACGGCCCUU
rnacentral:rRNA from 1 species